rnacentral:rRNA from 1 species
CCCCUAGAUGUUCUGGGCCGCACGCGCGCUACACUGAACAGUUCAACAAGUCUUAACCUUGGCCGAUAGGUCUGGGUAAUCUUUGAACGCUGUUCGUGAUUGGGAUAGACCUUUGCAAUUAUGGGUCUUCAACGAGGAAUUCCUAGUAAACGCAAGUCAUCAGCUUGCAUUGAUUACGUCCCUGCCCUUUGUACACACCGCCCGUCGCACCUACCGAUUGAAUGGUCCGGUGAAAUCUCGGGACGGCGGCUUGGUCGCUUGCGUCCGACUGCUGAAACUUGAUUAAACCAUNUNAUUUAGNGGAAGGCGAANUCGUANCA